rnacentral:rRNA from 1 species
UACGAAGGGGGGCUAGCGUUGCUCGGAAUCACUGGGCGUAAAGGGUGCGUAGGCGGGUCUUUAAGUCAGGGGUGAAAUCCUGGAGCUCAACUCCAGAACUGCCUUUGAUACUGAAGAUCUUGAGUUCGGGAGAGGUGAGUGGAACUGCGAGUGUAGAGGUGAAAUUCGUAGAUAUUCGCAAGAACACCAGUGGCGAAGGCGGCUCACUGGCCCGAUACUGACGCUGAGGCACGAAAGCGUGGGGAGCAAA